rnacentral:rRNA from 1 species
GACGAACGCUGGCGGCGUGCUUAACACAUGCAAGUCGAACGGAAAGGCCUUUUCGGAGGUACUCGAGUGGCGAACGGGUGAGUAACACGUGGGUGAUCUGCCCUGCACUCUGGGAUAAGCCUGGGAAACUGGGUCUAAUACCGGAUAGGACCGCACUUUAGUGUGUGUGGUGGAAAGUUUUUUCGGUGUAGGAUGAGCCCGCGGCCUAUCAGCUUGUUGGUGGGGUAAUGGCCUACCAAGGCGGCGACGGGUAGCCGGACUGAGAGGUUGGUCGGCCACAUUGGGACGGAGAUAGGGCCCAAACCCCUACGGGGGGCAGGAGGGGGGAAUAUUGAAAAAGGGGGGAAAGCCUGAUGCAGGGACGCCGGGGGGGGGAGGACGGCCUUGGGGUUGAAAACUCCUUGCGCCAGGGAAGAAGGGUUUUGGGACGGUACCUGGAGAAGAAGCCCCGGAUAACUACGU